UACGUAGGGUGCAAGCGUUGUCCGGAAUUAUUGGGCGUAAAGGGCUCGUAGGCGGUUCGUCACGUCGGGAGUGAAAACUCGGAGCUUAACUCCGAGCCUGCUUCCGAUACGGGCAGACUAGAGGUAGGCAGGGGAGAGCGGAACUCCUGGUGUAGCGGUGGAAUGCGCAGAUAUCAGGAAGAACACCGGUGGCGAAGGCGGCUCUCUGGGCCUUACCUGACGCUGAGGCGCGAAAGCGUGGGGAGCAAACAGG
rnacentral:rRNA from 1 species